CGAGCUUGAACAGAUUUAAGGCUCGUCUCGAGCUCGAGCCGAGCUCGAGCUUUAUUCGAGCCGAGCCGAGUAGCUCGAAUUUAGAUAUGGUUAAGUUAUGUUUACCCAUCCUACCCCCAUUAAUAUGUGUUAUUCCUAUCCUACCCCCACUAUAUAUGAAUAUAUUAACAUAACAAUCUGUGAAACCUAGCCGUCUCCCUUCUCCUUCUCCUUCUUCUUUCUCUAACUCGAUCUAACCUAGCCGUCUCCCUUCUCCUUCUUCUUCUUCAUCUCCAGUUGCCUUGGUGGUAGCUUCAUACUUUAAGAUAGGAAGGAUGAGUUGUUCAAUUCUGUAGCAGCAACAGCAGCAUCAAUUCUCUAGUCAGAAGAAUGAAUGAUUUACACUCAUAUACAUAGUUGGGACUGAGUAAAAUGCCUUUGGUUUUAGUUAUCACCAGAUCUGAUGAGCAAAGUCUGUAUUCAUAGUCAUACUACCACUCCUCCUCCUCCUCCUCCUCGCACUGUAUCAUCAAUUCAUCAUCAUCUUCCUUCUUCAUUAUCAUCCAUCAAUUAAUCGAUUAAUCCAUCAUCAUAUAUCAUUAUAGGCUGCUAUAGCUUGCAUUUUAUAAUUCAACAGCUAAAACCUACCUUUCUACUACUACUACUCCUCCAGUCCUUCUAUAAUUAAGCAGCAGCAGCAGCAGCAGCAGCAACAACUCUGUAACGCCCCCACCCCACUUUCUGUCUGGAAAUUGAGUGCAAGAGUGAGAUUGGAGAUUUCUAAAUUACUAAUUAAUUUAUUCUUUCACCAACCCAAACUCACUCUCUCUUUUUGCUAAAUUUUUGUUUGAAAUUUCUUCGUUCCAAUUUACAGGUUUUGAUUCAUGAAUUUGAGUUUUAUGAUUA
rnacentral:lncRNA from 1 species